GGGCUGGGAUGCUGGCCCCGGGCCAGGGAGACAGUUUUUUUCUGUUUAAAGCGUCGUCGCUGCCGCCUGGGGGAGCGAGGGUGUACGGGCGGGUGGAGGCUGCGGGUGGGGGGGCGGUCCCCGCCCCAGAUGCCCGGCCCGCCGGAACCCGCCGCCGCGCUGGGCCCUCUCCAGUGGGCCCUCACCUGGGACCGCUGGCUGCCCCUCCGGAUUCCUCUGGGCGGGGCCGGGAGGCCCGCGCCCACCUCCGCCCGGUCGCUUCAAAGUGGGAAACCGAGGCUGAGGGAGGAAGACGGGCCUGGCCCGGGGUCACAAGGACUGUCGGAAGCCAGGUGGAACUGGAACCCAGGCCUCUCAGCGAUUGCCCUUCCUCCCUUGCACAGGAAGGCACAACCUGUCUCCAGACCCUAAGGGCACAGGGGCUGGCACGCAGAGGGUGCUGAAGUUUGUCGAUUGACUGAAGAGAGCGAGACCACAAGAGCACCCCUCGUGUACAUGCACUUUACACUGGUAUGUUAUUCACCCAAUCAGUGACCCUACAAAAAGGAAGCCAAGGCUCUGAAAGAUGAAACCAUUAGACUCAAGUCAUCUGACAGGGAGGCAACGGAGCUGACUCUCAUGAAGCCCUAAGUGGAUGCUGACUACACAGAAAGAGUCCACCAUUGAGAAUCAGGCUCUAGACAUGCACUGCCUGGAGGCAGUGCACAGCCCCGCCACACCCCAGCAGGGUGACUGUGGUGGAUACAUCUCUUAAUUCAUCCAAGCUUCAGCUUCUCCAUCUGCAAACUGGGGCUGAUAAUAAGGUAUAACUCACAGGGUUGUCCUGAGUAUUAAAGGAGAUAAUUCAAGCUCUCAGCAGUGCCUGGACCAAAGGAAAAAUACCCCAAAGCUACAGGAGCUGAAGCUACCCUCUGCUGCUUCCAAUCUCUUGGAAAAGAUAAGCAGAAUGGCAACCAAACCAAGGUCAGAACUGUCUACAGGAGCACUGCAGUCCCAGCAGUCUGUUAAAUUUAAGUCACUUGCAACAGUUCGAGAGAAUUGGACCUGGAUGUUUUCCUCCAUGAAGAAGGCUCCAGGUGAUUCGGCAAGACAAAGCUUACACAUUUCUUUCUUUCCCCCAUAUCUCCUGGGGUCUGAGGUGUUCCCUCCCCAGGUGCCAAGGUUGCUGUUCUCCCUCUAUGGCCACAAAAUCGAUGUGUUCCAUUCCAGGAGUUAGAACUUCAACUUUUUUCCAAUCACCCCCUACUCACACCUUUCAUCUGCAAGGAUCGGGGGACAAAGACGUUUUUAUAAAACAUACAGGGAUCCAUUAGGUCCCCCAUCCUACACAUGGGCCACAGUUGGGGGACUCAAAGAGAGAGGUGUACACACCAGCACUCCAGUUAUUCUGAUGCAGGACUGUGUCUGUCCAACAAGAGAAUCCAAGUGGCUGAACAAUAAUAUAGUGAGAAUCACCUAAACCCCUUUCUGACUGGGCUGCCACCUGGAAUUGCAGCAACCAGGCUGGCCUGGGGUUGCUGUUAAGGGAAAGAAAGAAGCAUAAUGUCUAGGAAUAGUGAGUGUGGAACCCUAAAUUUUCAGAACUGGUCUAUGUAAACCCUACCCCUCUCAUCUUGAUCAUUACAUAGGACACAGCCUAGGGGAAAUGGUCCCAUCCUGGAGACAGCCACAUUCAGUGACUGAACUGCCAUAUGGAGGUGUGGGGACCUGGAGAGAGAGUCAGAAAUUUCUUUGAGUUAAUUUUUGAGGAUCAGCAUGAUUAUGGAUGAUAGGGAGCAUGGAAGGACCACCAAAUACCUAGAUUAUCAUAUUGAGUGGCUUUUGAGAUAAAAGAUGCACCAUUGUUAGACCAUUGGUCCAGAAA